UUUUUCUGUGAUUCCUCAUUGCACAGAAAACCAAGCAUAUAAGGAGUACAAGCCUAAUUCACUGCAGACAUGUAGACAUUACUGCAAAGAAGACAUAACCUCCAAACUGAAGGCAUUUAAACACUUUUUUGCUUUAUGCCAAAAAAACUUAUUCAAAGCACUACCUUGAAUUGCUUUUCCAGUCGUGUCUUUCCUCCUACUCCCGGUAUAAGGAUGCUGUUAACAUAGCUGUGCAGCUGAUUUGAAGAUACUUCAGUCUCCUUUCCAAGAAUGGCUUCCAACAAGGCAUCAUGGAUGAAAAUGUACUGCUCCUAAGCGUCACCUGCAUGGGAGAAAUCAUUCUUAUGACACCCGUCUCCUUUGUGACUUUGCUGGGGUGAAAAGGGGACAAACACCUAUACCAAAAUCCAGUCGUCAUCAAGUAGACUCGGAAGCGUCGGCCGUUAGCGCAGAUGGGUGAAGAGCAUGUGCCUGGGCUGACAGCAGCUCUGGUGUCAUUGUUGCUACUGCGGCAAUACAGGAGGGAUCUGUGUUCCAGUGAGGCACAUGUGGUCAGUCAUCCCUCAAGCAAGAGAGGGGUGUUACCACACGCCACCCUCGACUCCCGCAUGCAUCUGUUUGUUUGCCUGAGCCUCCAUUAUGCCAACACAAAUCCCCCACACAUUUGCGGUUUGCAUCCCUUCAUAUUUAUUACACUCUGUCUCCCACUGAACAUCCAGGAAAGAAAAAAAAUUGCGAUGUCAACAAAACUCACUUGUUUUCAUGAACAGCAUUCUUAAUGAGGAGGCACCAACACAUGGCAAAAUUUCUGAAACUCUAAAGAUGGGACUUUGAAUAAAAGAGAGACCUCUUCCUAUUUGCA